GCUAGGGUGGCAGAGCCCGGUAAAUGCAGAAAGCCUAAGCCUUUCCUACCGGAGGUUCAAAUCCUCCCCCUAACU
rnacentral:tRNA from 1 species